rnacentral:pre_miRNA from 1 species
ACAACAGGUAUUCUCCGGUAAUGACAUUGUCGUUUAAAACCUGUUAUUGCUUGAGAAUACAAAUUGU